UACGUAGGGUGCGAGCGUUGUCCGGAAUUAUUGGGCGUAAAGAGCUCGUAGGCGGUGUGUUACGUCGGCCGUGAAAACCUGCAGCUUAACUGUGGGCGUGCGGUCGAUACGGGCAUCACUGGAGUUCGGCAGGGAGACUGGAAUUCCUGGUGUAGCGGUGAAAUGCGCAGAUAUCAGGAGGAACACCGGUGGCGAAGGCAGCUCGCUGGGACGGUACUGACGCUGGAGGCGACGAAAGCCGUGGGGAGCGAACAGG
rnacentral:rRNA from 1 species